GAUGAUUGGGGUGAAGUCGUAACAAGGUAGCCGUAGGAGAACCUGCGGCUGGAUCACCUCCUUU
rnacentral:rRNA from 1 species